UGUAUAAUGGGUCAGCGACUUAUAUUCUGUAGCAAGGUUAACCGAAUAGGGGAGCCGAAGGGAAACCGAGUCUUAACUGGGCGUUAAGUUGCAGGGUAUAGACCCGAAACCCGGUGAUCUAGCCAUGGGCAGGUUGAAGGUUGGGUAACACUAACUGGAGGACCGAACCGACUAAUGUUGAAAAAUUAGCGGAUGACUUGUGGCUGGGGGUGAAAGGCCAAUCAAACCGGGAGAUAGCUGGUUCUCCCCGAAAGCUAUUUAGGUAGCGCCUCGUGAAUUCAUCUCCGGGGGUAGAGCACUGUUUCGGCAAGGGGGUCAUCCCGACUUACCAACCCGAUGCAAACUGCGAAUACCGGAGAAUGUUAUCACGGGAGACACACGGCGGGUGCUAACGUCCGUCGUGAAGAGGGAAACAACCCAGACCGCCAGCUAAGGUCCCAAAGUCAUGGUUAAGUGGGAAACGAUGUGGGAAGGCCCAGACAGCCAGGAUGUUGGCUUAGAAGCAGCCAUCAUUUAAAGAAAGCGUAAUAGCUCACUGGUCGAGUCGGCCUGCGCGGAAGAUGUAACGGGGCUAAACCAUGCACCGAAGCUGCGGCAGCGACGCUUAUGCGUUGUUGGGUAGGGGAGCGUUCUGUAAGCCUGCGAAGGUG
rnacentral:rRNA from 1 species